UACGUAGGGGGCAAGCGUUGUCCGGAUUUAUUGGGCGUAAAGAGCGUGUAGGCGGCCGCACAGGUCAGCUGUGAAAACUCGAGGCUCAACCUCGAGACGUCGGUUGAAACCGUAUGGCUAGAGGCCGGAAGAGGAGAGUGGAAUUCCCGGUGUAGCGGUGAAAUGCGCAGAUAUCGGGAAGAACACCCGUGGCGAAGGCGGCUCUCUGGGACGGUACUGACGCUGAGACGCGAAAGCGUGGGGAGCGAACAGG
rnacentral:rRNA from 1 species